rnacentral:tRNA from 1 species
CGGGCUGCUGGCGGACCCGCCGCUGCUGGCGGCCUACGGCGCCGCCGCGGUCGAGCGGGCCGCGUCCCGCUACAGCUGGG